ACUCCUACGGGAGGCAGCAGUGGGGAAUUUUGGACAAUGGGCGAAAGCCUGAUCCAGCCAUGCCGCGUGCAGGAUGAAGGCCUUCGGGUUGUAAACUGCUUUUGUACGGAACGAAACGGCCUUUUCUAAUAAAGAGGGCUAAUGACGGUACCGUAAGAAUAAGCACCGGCUAACUACGUGCCAGCAGCCGCGGUAAUACGUAGGGUGCAAGCGUUAAUCGGAAUUACUGGGCGUAAAGCGUGCGCAGGCGGUUAUGUAAGACAGUUGUGAAAUCCCCGGGCUCAACCUGGGAACUGCAUCUGUGACUGCAUAGCUAGAGUACGGUAGAGGGGGAUGGAAUUCCGCGUGUAGCAGUGAAAUGCGUAGAUAUGCGGAGGAACACCGAUGGCGAAGGCAAUCCCCUGGACCUGUACUGACGCUCAUGCACGAAAGCGUGGGGAGCAAACAGGAUUAGAAACCCCUGUAGUCCCAUGA
rnacentral:rRNA from 1 species